rnacentral:rRNA from 1 species
GAUGAACGCUGGCGGCGUGCCUAAUACAUGCAAGUCGAGCGAACAGACGAGGAGCUUGCUCCUCUGACGUUAGCGGCGGACGGGUGAGUAACACGUGGAUAACCUACCUAUAAGACUGGGAUAACUUCGGGAAACCGGAGCUAAUACCGGAUAAUAUAUUGAACCGCAUGGUUCAAUAGUGAAAGACGGUUUUGCUGUCACUUCUAGAUGGUUCCGCGCCGCAUUAGCUAGUUGGUAAGGUAACGGCCUACCAAGGCAACGAUGCGUAGCCGACCUGAGAGGGUGGUCGGCGACACUGGAACUGGGACGCGGUCCUGACUCCUACGGGAGGCAGCAGUCGGGAAUCUUCCGCAAUGGGCGAAAGCCUGACGGAGCAGCGCCGAGUGAGUGAUGAAGGUCUUCGGAUCGUAAAACUCUGUUAUUAGGGAAGAACAAAUGUGUAAGUAACUAUGCACGUCUUGACGGUACCUAAUCAGAAAGCCACGGCUAACUACGUG